CCUGAAGUUGUUGCUGUGGAGGAAUUCUUAAGGCACAUUUUCUUCUGUUCAAGCCAUUCUGUUGUUGAUUUACUUUGGUCUUUUGCGUUUGUUGUCCUGUUGCAUCACCUAACUUCUGUUGAGCUUCAAUUGGCGGACAGAUAGACUUACAUUCUCCUGCAAAAUGUCUUGAUAAUCUGAUGAUAGCAAGCUGUCCAGGCCCUGAGGCAGCAAAGCAGCCCCAAACCAUGAUGCGCCCUCCACCAUACUUUACAGUUGGGAUGAGGUGUUGAUGUUGGUGUGCUGUGCCUUUUUUUUCCCCACACAUAGUGUUGUGUUCCUUCCAAACAACUCAACUGUAGUUUCAUCUGUCCACAGAAUAUUUUGUCAGUAGAGCUGUGGAACAUCCAGGUGCUCUUUUGCAAACUUCAGACGUACAGCCAUGUUUUUUUGGACAGCAGUGGCUUCUUCUAUGGUGUCCUCCCAUGAACACCAUUCUUGUUUAGUGUUCAGAAGGCUUCAAAUGUACGGUGAAUAAUAAAGUAAGAUUAUCCAUGGAUUCUAUCCGUGUAAUAGCUUCGAGGCAAGCAACACUGAUACAUGCAUGAGAGCACCAGCUAUUCUGGAAGACUGUGUGAUCACGCUCUCCGCAGCUGAUGUAAGACCUUUAAACAGGUCAACAUUCACAAGGCCGCAGGGCCAGACGGAUUACCAGGGCGUGUACUCCGAGCAUGCACUGACCAACUGGCAAGUGUCUUCACUGACAUUUUCAACCUCUCACUGUCCGAAUCUGUAAUACCAACAUGUUUUAAGCAGACCACCAUAGUCCCUAUGCCCAAGAACACUAAGGUAACCUGCCUAAAUGACUACCGACCCGUAGCACUCACGUCUGUAGCCAUGAAGUGCCUCCACAUGCUGGUCAUGGCUCACAUCAACACCAUCAUCCCAGAAACCCUAGACCCACUCAAAUUUGCAUACCGCCCCAACAGAUCCACAGAUGAUGCAAUCUCUAUUGCACUCCACAGUGCCCUUUCCCACCUGGACAAAAGGAACAGCUACGUGAGAAUGUUGUUCAUUGACUCCAGCUCAGCGUUCAACACCAUAGUGCCCUCAAAGCUCAUCAAUAAGCUAAGGACCCUGGGACUAAACACCUCCCUCCGCAACUGGAUCCUGGACUUCCUGGCGGGCCGCCCCCAGGUGGUGAGGGAGACUGAAAAUAUUUGGCAUGGGUCCUGAGAUCCUCAAAAGGUUCUACAGCUGCACCAUCGAGAGCAUGACUGCCUGGUUGCAUCACUGCCUGGUACGGCAACUGCUUUACCUCCAACCGCAAGGCACUACAGAGGGUAAUGCAAACGGCCCAGUACAUCCCGGGGCCAGGCUUCCAGCCGUCCUGGACCUCUAUACCAGGCGGUGUCAGAGGAAGGCCCAAAAAUGGUUAAAGACUCCAGUCACCCCAGUCAUAGACUGUUCUCUCUGCUACCGCACGGCAAGCGGUACCGGAGCGCCAAGUCUAGGUCCAAAGGGCUCCUUAACAGCUUCUACCCCCAAGCCAUAAGACUCCUGAACAUCUAGUCAAAUUGCUACCCAGACUAUUUGCAGUGCCCCCAUCCCCUCUUUACACCACUGCUACUCUCUGUUGUCAUAAUCACUUUAGUAUCUCUACCUACAUGUACAUACUACCACAAAUAACCGAUGCCUCUGCACAUUGACUCUGUACCGGUAC
ensembl:lncRNA